UACGGGGGGGCAAGCGUUGUUCGGAAUUACUGGGCGUAAAGGGCUCGUAGGCGGCCAACUAAGUCCGACGUGAAAUCCCCAGGCUUAACCUGGGAACUGCGUCGGAUACUGGAUGGCUUGAAGGUGGGAGAGGGUAGUGGAAUUCCCGGUGUAGUGGUGAAAUGCGUAGAUAUCGUAAGGAAGACCAGUGGCGAAGGCGGGUCUCUGGACAGUUCCUGACGCUGAGGCACGAAGGCCAGGGGAGCAAACGGG
rnacentral:rRNA from 1 species